UACGUAGGGGGCAAGCGUUGUCCGGAUUUAUUGGGCGUAAAGAGCGUGUGGGCGGCCAGGUAGGUCUGCUGUGAAAACUCGAGGCUUAACCUCGAGCUGUCGGCGGAAACCAUCUGGCUAGAGUCCGGAAGAGGGAAGCGGAAUUCCCGGUGUAGUGGUGAAAUGCGUAGAUAUCGGGAGGAACACCAGUGGCGAAGGCGGCUUUCUGGUCUGCUCUUGACGCUGAGGCGCGAAAGCUAGGGUAGCAAACGGG
rnacentral:rRNA from 1 species